UGAGAUUACGAUGAGGAUUAUCAGCUCCCUCUUCUGAUUUAAGGUUGAGGAAAUCAGCCGGCAGAAUCGAACCUAAUUAUUAUAGCCACCACUGAGUAA